rnacentral:tRNA from 2 species
GACCCUGUAGCUCAGUAGGAUAGAGCACCUGCCUCCUAAGCAGGGGGUCGACGGUUCGAAUCCGCCCAGGGUCGCCA